rnacentral:rRNA from 1 species
AUUGAACGCUGGCGGCAGGCCUAACACAUGCAAGUCGAGCGAGCGGCGGACGUGUGAGUAAUGCCUGGGAAUUGCCCAGUCGAGGGGAAUACCAGAUGGAAACGACAGCUAAUACCGCAUACGUUUGGAUCUACCAGGGGGGUAUAGCCAGUUGGUGAGGUAAUGGCUCACCAAGGCGACGAUCCCUAGCUGGUCUGAGAGGAUGAUCAGCCAAACUGGAACUGAGACACGGUCCAGACUCCUACGGGAGGCAGCAGUGGGGAAUAUUGCACAAUGGGGGAAACCCUGAUGCAGCCAUGCCGCGUGUGUGAAGAAGGCCUUCGGGUUGUAAAGCACUUUCAGCGGGGAGGCGUUACUCGCAGAAUAAGCACCGGCUAACUCCGUGCCAGCAGCCGCGGUAAUAC